CCUACGGGAGGCAGCAGUGGGGAAUAUUGCACAAUGGGGGAAACCCUGAUGCAGCAACGCCGCGUGAAGGAUGACGGUUUUCGGAUUGUAAACUUCUUUUCUUAGUGACGAAGACAGUGACGGUAGCUAAGGAAUAAGCAUCGGCUAACUACGUGCCAGCAGCCGCGGUAAUACGUAGGAUGCAAGCGUUAUCCGGAUUUACUGGGUGUAAAGGGAGCGCAGGCGGGACUGCAAGUUGGAUGUGAAAUACCGUGGCUUAACCACGGAACUGCAUCCAAAACUGUAGUUCUUGAGUGAAGUAGAGGCAAGCGGAAUUCCGAGUGUAGCGGUGAAAUGCGUAGAUAUUCGGAGGAACACCAGUGGCGAAGGCGGCUUGCUGGGCUUUAACUGACGCUGAGGCUCGAAAGUGUGGGGAGCAAACAGGAUUAGAUACCCUGGUAGUCCACACUGUAAACGAUGAUAGCUAGGUGUGGGGGGUCUGACCCCUUCCGUGCCGGAGUUAACGCAAUAAGCUAUCCACCUGGGGAGUACGACCGCAAGGUUGAAACUCAAAGGAAUUGACGGGGGCCCGCACAAGCAGUGGAGUAUGUGGUUUAAUUCGACGCAACGCGAAGAACCUUACCAAGUCUUGACAUCCCUUGACAGACAUAGAAAUAUGUUUUCUCUUCGGAGCAAGGAGACAGGUGGUGCAUGGUUGUCGUCAGCUCGUGUCGUGAGAUGUUGGGUUAAGUCCCGCAACGAGCGCAACCC
rnacentral:rRNA from 1 species